GUCAUACACAAAACCUUUGGCAGCACAUAUACUAAAAUUGGAAUGUUACAGAUAUUAGCAUGGCAUUGUGCAAGGAUGACACACAAGUUCAUGAAGCAUUCCAUAUUCUU